AUAUAAACUUAAACAACCCCCCCCCCGCCCCUGCAACAAUAUUGCUGUACCAUUCGACAACCUAAUAUUGUUUGAAUUGUAUGCAGCCACUUGUAUUCCCUGCAUCACAUAGAUAUCGUACAUAUUUUAUAUAAAUAAAUAAAACUGAUACAGUUAGAAUAAUACAAAAAAAAGUUAGUUAAAGCAAAACAACAUAAUAAACAAGUAAAUAAAAGAAAAUCAGCAAGUGAUUGAGAGUGGUCCUUAUGGAUUUCAAAUUAUACAUAGUACAGGAGCAGUCAUAUAGAACACCAAUAUUAGUGACAUCUUAUUUCUCUAUAUAACUUAAAAAAGAUUUCCAUGUAUCAUGAAAUUUUUGAAUACAUCCUCUUGUAGAGUAACAAAUCUUCUCUAGUACCAAAUGGUGUAGAAGAUCAUUGAUCCACAUCUUAAAGGUUGGAGGAAGUUUCUCCUUUCACUUAAAAAGUAUUAAUCGCCUAGCUAUAAGAGAUGCAAAAGCUAUCAUAUUCUUUGCCUGGCGGUUAAGGAGAGAGUCUUGUGGAGUUAUUCCAAAUAUGGCAGUAAUGGCAGAAGGUUCAAUAAGUACUUGUAAAACAUCUGAAAAAGUUUUAAAUAUUGACUGCCAAAAAUUGUCCAGUUUUGAACAAGACCAGAACAUAUGCGAGAGUGUGGCUGGUGCUUGCCUGCAUCGAUCACAAAUGGGAUCAGUGCUAGGUGAAUGAAGAUGAUGCAUAACCUUAAACUGGAUAACUUUGUGUCGUAAGCAGAUUGAAGAGGAAUGUAUUCUAUCUAAAGCUCUUUCCCAAAUCUCCUCAGGAAGUUCAAACCCCAAAUCGUCCUCCCAUUGAGUCUUUAAUGAUGUCAAAGGUUCCAAAUUAUAUGUAUUUAGUAAGGAGUAUAUGUUCCCAAUAUUCCCUUUGGAACCUGAAUUAAGCUUGAGAAUGGAAUUCAGGAGGGUGCUGGGUGGUUGGGAUGGGAAAUGAGUAAAUGAUAUUGAUAUGAAACUACGGAGCUGCAAAAAUCUAAAAAGAUGAGAGUUUGGGAUGUUAAAUUUAAGCUUUAGUUGAUCAAAAGAUGCGAAAGUACUAUCAAUAAAUAGAUCUUCUAUUGUGGCGACUCCUCUAUUAGCUCAUUCAUGAAAAGCACCAUCCAUAAUUGACGGCAUAAACUGGUGGUUUUUUGUUAUAGGAGCACAAGUGGGCAGAUCCCUGAGAGAGAACCUUCGUCUGAACUGUGUCAGAAUUCUAAAAGAGUGUUUCACAAUUGGAUUUGAGACUCUGCUGGAUGGCUGUAUUUUUCCAACCUCGAGGAAAAAAUCAAAAAUAAGACCUGUGUGUAAAGUCCUUGGAGCAACAUCACAUAAAGAUUUUAGACCAGUCGCACUCACCUCUGUUUUAGCUUGUUAUGUGCGGUCUGUAGGUGUGUGGCCUGUUCUCUCUCAUCCUCUCUCUCCCUCUAGCCUUCUCUUUUACCCCUCCUUCUUCUCCUCUUCUGAAGUAGCUGAGUGCAAUUGUUAUUCAGAAAGGAGGAGGAGAUGCUUUGAAUUACUUUGGGUUACUUUGAUCAAUAAAGUUUGGAUCAUUGAUUUUUUUGUCUGGCAUCCUCUUUCAUGUGCUAUGGUCUCCUAACAAGCCUUUGUUUAAUUAUUAUUCUUUAUGGAGGCCAUAACAUAUUUGGGGGCUUGUCUCCACGCGUUUUCCCCCACAUAUUGGCAUUGUUUUGUAGGCUUCUUUAAACGCUGACUGCGGGUGAGGCUGAUGGCUUCUGUUCUUGCCUCAGUGUUGUACCUGCAUAUUUUUGUGUUACCACAGUUACUUGUGGCUGCAAACUGUGUCACUGUAAUUUUUUUUUCACUCCACGUCUUUGUUGAUGCACAGUCUGACACUGUGGGUUGUUCCCUUGACUGUUUGUAUUGUUUGCAUUGUGCCUACAUAUUGUAUGCUUGUUGCAGUUUUGUGCACAUGGUUUUGGGACGCCGCAGAUUUUGUCCUGCUUUUCAGUUUGAGCAGUGUUUUGUGUAUGUUGUGCCAUUUCACAGGGCUGUGUUUUUGUAUUUGCCCAUUUCUCCCUUGACUUGGCAGACUUUUUGUGAUGUGUAUUUUUGGUGAUACUUGCUCUGAGCUAAGCUUGAAGACUGUGGCGUAUCCAUGUCUUAAUAAAUUCCAUCACUCUA